AAAUAGGGUAACUAGCUUUAGUUUGCAGCAUAAUAAAACAGAAAUUCUAUAUAGGGAAUGUAAAUCCCAAUCUUCACGGCCAAAAUGAGAAUAAUUUCAUAAAUAAAUCCCAAACAAUACCCAUUCUGCAACAGAACAAAUUAAAAUCUACUCAAAACCAAAAUAAUGUGCUCAUUAAAACUUUGCAUAGACUUCGCCAUGUUUAAACUAAACUGAAUGUACCAGGUCAGGCAACAAUUAGACAAGGAUUAGAAACCCAAGCAAGCCAUUUCAAAGUCCUCCUACUACAAAGUUGUAUGUACAUACAAUGUAAAUAAUAACUUUCAUUACACCAAUUCAAAAAUUUAUAUUGAUAUAGAAUGCAAACGUUGGGAAUAGGAACAGCCGUGGAAGGGAACUCCAAGAUCUUAAAGAAAAAAGUGAAACCUGCGGCAUCAGCAGGUAAAUAAUUGAUUAUGUGCAUUCCAUUCAUUGCAAUUGGAAAAACAACUCCAGAUGUUGAAAAUCAGAGAGCGUGAUCAUUUUGUGUUAAUAAAAUAGGUAAAAAGGGCAAUGACAUACUCAAACUUUAGGCAGUAGAGUAAUAAAGCAGCAAUAUCACAAUAGAUAAUAAUCUCCAGAUUAUUGUAGGUAUCACAGACAAGCGAAUAAAAGACAAUAAUGCAGAAAACAGGGUUCAAAAUGCCUCGUGGAAUUGAACUAGGUUUGGAAAGGUGCUUCCAGUAAAAAAUGUAUGCCUAUAUAGUUUAUAUGGUCUGCACAAUGCCUCCGCUUUAUCACAUUCCUGCCAAUCUCUGCCUGUGGCUUCCUGUAUUGUUCCAAGAAGACCCAAGUUCAAGAAAUAUCUUCCCUCUGGUACAUUGAACGAUUUCUGCCCGCCAUCAUUUCACGUCCUUUCGGAUACAUGGCAUGGUGGUGCAGCAGUAGAGUUGCUGCCUUACAGUGCCAGAGCCCCGGGUUCAAUCCUGACCAUGGGUGCUGUCUGUAUGGAGUUUGUACGUUCUCCCCUUGACUGCUUGGGUUUUCUUGGAGAUCUUCGGUUUCCUCCACACUCCAAAGACGUACAGAAUCAUGCCAACAACAACAACAUAUACAGCCAGUCACUUAAUCUAUUCGCACCAGCCACAUCUUCACCUUAUGGACUAAUAGAUCCUGACCUCGGGUGCUCUCUGUGUUAAGUUUGCACGUUUUCCUUUGACCACGUGGGUUUCCUCCCACAUCCCAAAUUGGGCUUUGUAAAUUACCCCUAGUGUUUAGGGAGUGCAUAAAGGUAAAACACAGAACUGGUGUGAUGAUGAUCGAUGGUCACGUGGACUCAUUUGGCCGAAGGACCUGUUUCUGUGCUGUAUUGUUCAAUUCAAACAAUUAGAGAAAUUCUCUUUUACUACCACUUAGAAUAGGUUUUCUCUCUCAAGUUUCAAAACAUGUCCUUCUCUGAAACAUUGAAAAUGUUUCUCUUUGUCACUUAACCCAUUUAGUUUCUCCAUUUAUCAAUUUGUUUUUAAUAUUAUGUUGGCUCAGCUCGUCUCAUCCUGCUACAUAUGCAAGUCUAACCUGUCCACCACCCUGUCAUUAACACUACUGACUAACUUGCCAACGUGCUUGCUGCUGUUGCCAUCAAGCCAUUUCAAGUCAUGCUAUCACUGACAUUCACUCCUACUGAAACCUAACUUGCAUCUCACUUUCACAAUUCUGACAAAAGGUUGCAAACCUAAAAUGCUGACCAUUUCUUUUCCUUCAGAUCAUGCCUGACCUGCUCAGUUUUUUCAGCAUUUUCCAUUUUUGUUCUUCGUUUCCACCACUGGUCUUUUUUUUCUCUUUACAAUAUUUAUUCUGUACUCUCUUUCCCCUCUCUGCUCCCACCAUUAAACAACUUCAAGCUUAUCUCCUACUCUCCAGCCAUCCCAUCCGAAAAUGCAGUCUUCAUGCCUGCCUCCUUCCCUCCACCUCCCACCCUCAAACAGCCGCAGGCAUCCCUCCAUCCUUCCACCAAAAUUCCAAUGACAACAGCGACAGACACGCUAUCCUGUGAUAGUGACAAAGGAUAUCCACGUUUUCAACAAGAUGUAGAUCAGUUGGACCAAGGCAUGGCAAAUAGAAUUUAACGCUUGACAAGUGAGAGGUGUUGCAUUUUGGCAUGUCAAAUUAGGGCAGGAUUUACAGAGUCAAUGGUACAGCCUUGAAGACUGAUGCAGAACAGAGAUAUCUGGGAGUACAGGUGCAGGGUUCCUGAAAGAUGGCGAGUCAGGUGAACAGUGUGGUGGAGAAGACCUUUAGCAUCUUGCCUUCAUUGAGAAGGGUACUGGAUACAAAGAUAGGCCAAGCAGAUCGUGGGUGAGCGAGAGAUCCCGGCUUCACAGUGGACGAGGACCUUCCCUUCUGUACAUCCUUUUAUUUUGAGGCCGUGCCCUCUGGUCCUAAAUUCUCGCACUAGUGGAAUCAUCCUCUCCACAUCCACUCUAUCCAGGCUUUUCACUAUUUGUUCACAUGGGUUCCCAUGGAUUUCUUGACCUCUGUGAACACUGGUAUCGGUUCAUAUUCAUCCAUUGGAAAGUGGUAUUCUCACAAAUUAUCAAAACACUAAGUGCUGGAGGAACUCACCAGCUAGAUAGCGGUCCUGACCUCCCUUCGAUCUCGUUGGAGGCCUUCGAACUAUCAUUAAUUGGACUUUACUUUACUCUUAACAUUACACCAUUUAUUCUGCAUUUGUACACUGUGGGCGGCUUCAUUUUAAUCAUGUAUAGACAUUUCGUUGACUGGAUAGCAAGCAACAAAAAAGCUCUGCACUGUACCUCGAUACACGUGUUAAUAAUAAUAAUAAAUAAAACUACAAAUGGACAAAUGACUUUUCAGGUCGGGACCCUUCUUCAGUCACUUGUGUUCUCACAAAUAAUGUGGAAGAAGCAUCUCAGCUUAAUUGAAAAUUUCCUGUGUAGGGAAUCUGCUUUCUAAAAUGUAAGGAAACUAAUGUGUUUAGAUGUUGGGCCUUGCACCAUUCUAAGCUGCUCAUUCCCUAUCUAUGUUCCACAGUGAAUUCAAUAGGUAUUUAAUUCAGAAUACAAAUGGGUGUAAACAUUAACCACAGUAACAUUGGCAUAGGGAAAUCAAUGCUCCAGAAAAAGGUUUAAAAAUCAGAAAAACAAAUGGUAAACAAUCUCUAGGGGUCACUUUAAGAUCUCUAUCCUAUGAUGCCUAUAAUUAAAUGAACAGUCAGAGCUAACAAAGAGACACCAGCCACAUCUAAUCAUAUCCUGUUAAAGUGGUGGACCGUCUUAUUUGCGUGGGCACAUGCAAGCUAAUAUCAUUAAGCAUAAGUGACCCACUGUGAUGAUCUGUCUAGCUGGGCAGAACAAUGAGACACAGGAUUAAAUUAUUCAUUUCGGAUAUUUAUAUGGAUGAGUUUUUGUACAAAUUUAGUUUAAUUAUUGGAACUCAAGCACUUCACUAUUCAUGUAAUGUUUGCACUUAUUCCUCUCUGCCUUCUUGCUGCUACCCACUUCCUGCAGUGUUUUUAGCAGCUCUUACUCUCAGGCCAUUUACACAACUGCAGAUACCGGAUCUUUUGAAUCUGAGAAUCGUACAAUGACGCAGAAAGCAUACCGCUCAAUUUGCUGUGCUGAAUGAGAGGUGCAAUUGCAAUUUUCUGUAUAUUGUUAGUCACACCACAGUCACAGUCACAGUCAUGGGUGAACCAGAAACCAGGUUCAUACGUAUAGGAAAGAAAAAAACCAAAGUAGAAAUCUCACUGGGCCAUUAUUUUCUGAUGCUGAUCAUAUUGUAGAUAUGUUUGAGCAAAUGCUUUAUCUACCCACUAGAAAGCAAGUGAAAUUAAAAGAUAUUUUUUGAUGAUGGAGUGUGCCGAUGGCACAUAUAACAGUUUCCUCCUGCCAUGAAUGAUGUUUCUUAUUUUAAAUGGCCCUGUCCCCAUAGAUGGCAUCCAUCGUAUGACUCUUCAUCAGAUCUCUACUUAAAAACUAAAAUCCCGUCUUCUUAGCUGUUCAAUCAGUGGUCUGGCGUCUGGAGUGAUACCAGAAGAUGGAUGGGGGCGCAAGAACUGGCAGAUGCUGCAAUCUUGAGCUAAACACAAACUGAAGGAGCAAUUCAGUGGGUCACGCAGCAUCUGUGAACGGAAUGGAUAGGCGACCUUUCGGGUCGGAACCAGACUGAUUAUAGUGAGAGCGAGAAAGUUGGAAAAAGA